UUGACCUCGAAUCAGGUAGGAAUACCCGCUGAACUUAAGCAUAUCAAUAAGCGGAGGAAAAGAAACCAACCGGGAUUACCUCAGUAACGGCGAGUGAAGCGGUAACAGCUCAAAUUUGAAAUCUGGCUCCUCUGGAGUCCGAAUUGUAAUUUGUAGAAGAUGCUUUGGGUUGUGGGUUCGGCCUAAGUUCCUUGGAACAGGACGUCAUAGAGGGUGAGAAUCCCGUAUGUGGCCGAGGCCCGCGCCUAUGUAAAGCUCUUUCAACGAGUCGAGUUGUUUGGGAAUGCAGCUCAAAAUGGGUGGUAAAUUUCAUCUAAAGCUAAAUAUGGGCCAGAGACCGAUAGCGCACAAGUAGAGUGAUCGAAAGAUGAAAAGCACUUUGGAAAGAGAGUUAAACAGUACGUGAAAUUGUUGAAAGGGAAGCGCUUGCACCCAGACUUGGACGCUGCCGAUCACCUUGAGGUCUCCUCGAGUGCACUCGACAGCGUACAGGCCAGCAUCGGUUCGGGUGGCUGGAUAAAGGCCGUAGGAACGUAGCUCUCUUCGGGGAGUGUUAUAGCCUACGGUGCCAUGCAGCCCAGCCGGACCGAGGACCGCGCCUUCGGGCUAGGAUGCUGGCGUAAUGGGUGUAAGCGACCCGUCUUGAAACACGGACCAAGGAGUCUAACAUCUAUGCGAGUGUUUGGGUGGUAAACCCAUACGCGGAAUGAAAGUGAACGUAGGUGAGAACCCCCUUUGGGCGCAUCAUCGACCGAUCCUGAUGUCUUCGGAUGGAUUUGAGUAAGAGCAUAGC
rnacentral:rRNA from 1 species